rnacentral:rRNA from 1 species
AUGCUUGAUUUUGACUCCGAAGACAUCGACGAUAUGGACGACGAUACCGGGGUAGAACAGGAACCACCGCCCACAGGGCGCUGGACAGCCACCUCAUCAUAUGACAUAUACAUGGUGGACACACCCAAAGAAAACAAUGGUGAGGAGCAGAAGGAUGCAACGACUCCUGAGAAGCAGCCAAAGCGCCGACAUCAGUGGCGCCGCUCUAAACCCCGCCAUAGCAAAAACAGUGAUACUGGUACAAGAAAGAAUAACACCCCAAACAAUGCCGAAGACAAUGACGACCCCGCAGACCCAGCGAUGAAGCAGGAUGGGCCAGGAGACGGCAAACACAGUCCAGGGCCGCUGUCCGAUCACAGCGAUGCCGAAGACAAAACUUAUAAACCUGUCUCUGGAGAGGAGAACAGUCCGGACGAUGAUGCACACAUCAUCUCGGAAAAGCACUUGGAACAAGAGCACCUCCACAAAAGGCUUAUUGCCACCGUGAGGAGCUUGAAGAAGCAGAAGCAAUGGCUUAAAGCCGCGCAGGAUAUGCUCAACCAUAGAUGGAACAAAGUGCUCGACACUGACGAAAUAUACGGCGGUGAUCGCCACACAAAGAGCUACCCAAAACGCAAGCUGCUACCCGAAUUCGACGACGAGGCUAUCGCGCCCAUUCCGCCAAAAAACAACACGACCGAUCUGCCGGACCGACCACCCCGUGGCCGAGACAGAGCGGCUAAUGACGCUGCACACAAGUCAGCACACGGUCUACGUGAGCACCUGGACAAAAGAGCUGGUAUGACCAAGUCCAUCUAUGGAUCUAGGAAACGUGUUCCUACGUAG